rnacentral:lncRNA from 1 species
GUUUACGCAAGUCUACAGGAGAGAGUGAGAGGGAGAGAGAGAGAGAGAGAGUGUGCUGUGUCUGUGCUGUAUUAACUGUGCACGUUUUGUUGUUUGUGUGAGUGUGCAUGCGAGUGCGCCUCAUUUGACUAUACAUCCAGGCCCUGGGAGUAUUUGCCUGUCUGAUCACCUCAUGUGAGUCUAAGAAGGGAAGCCAUGUGUGACUAACACGCACUUCAGAGUUGAACUAAUUGUGUCAUUUUUAACAUGAAUCUGUGCUUGCCCACAUUUUAUUCACUCUCUUUCCUCCCGCUCUCCCCUGAGCCACACAAUGAAUGCAGAGUGUUGCAGGCCCCUGCGUCGACCCAACUCUGAAGGAAUUUUCAAUGCUGCAUGCAGGAAUAGAUGCGUACAGUCGACUCACUCAGCCUGGUCGUCAUCUGAAACGUGAGGCCUCCAAUCACUGCAACAAGGCAGCGUGACGGCAGUCGGGUCAGAGUGUUCAAAGGCAGCGGGAGGACGUGGCGGGCUCCUCACCACCAAGCACAGAGGUGGAUAUUGUGGUGGAUGUUUAUAAACUACUUGUGCUUGCAGGCCGAAUGCACAAUUGUCUUGUCUGA